rnacentral:lncRNA from 9 species
GUUGGAGGCGGGGCUCUACUCGACUGAACCGUGCGACUCCAGGGCACCUGCGCAGAAAGGUGCGUUAAGAUGGCGGCUGCUGGAGUCGACCGCUGCGCGGCGAUGGUGGUGUUUCUCUGAGAUGAAAUACAUAAAACCUUUUAUUUCAGAAAUUCCAGGGAAUUAUAACUGGAACUACUCUGUUAUGUCUCUAUUUGAAAGGCAAAAUGAAGAUGGACAAAAUGAAGGUAGUCUGUAUGUCAUUAUUAUUGCCUCCAAAACAUAUGCACAUGCACACACAUGUAUGUGUGCACUCACACAUAUGACAGAUAAACAACCUGGACAAACUACCAGUCAAGCAAACUGACCAGGAAAGGAAAUAUACUUUGCAGAAAUAAAUAUUUCAUACUUAUAGUUACAAGCUCCACUGUUUUGUCAUUUGAGAAUUCUAAUUUAAGUAAUUGCAAUCGCCCAUCUUUUGUACUUUUAUCCGUGAUUUUAUUUUGUACUUGUAUUUGGAAGUUCAUCAGGAAAGUGUGUGUUCCUUUUCCUCUCCCCAUCCUUCAAAACCACCUCCUGUUAAAAAAAAGAAAUGGUUGGAGUUCCCAUCAUGGCUCAGCAGAAACAAAUCUGCUAGCAUCCUUGAGGACUCAGGUUUAAUUCCUGGCAUCACUCAGUGGGUUAAGGAUCCAGCAUUGCCGUGAGCUGUGAUGUAGGCUGCAGAUGUGGCUUGGGCCUGGCAUUACUUUGGCUGUGGUGUAGGCCAGUGGCUACAGCUCCAAUUCAACUCCUAAGCCUGGGACCCUCCAUAUACCGCAGGUGCGGCUCUAAAAAGACAAAAAAGAAAAAAGAAAAAAAAUUGAAAAGACAUGUUCAGUGUGAAAAGAUGUUGCUGAGGCAGGUAAGAUCAUCUUUUGCAGACUAUGGACAAAGCAAGUGGAUCUGGGUAUGGUGUUAGGAUUUCUGUACCUGCCAUGCUUUCCUGUGGUGAAUCAAAGUACUAAAAAGAACUGAGUAAUCAUACCCAAGCCAUCUUUAAGAAUGAAACUGCUUGACAUGAAAAAAACCCUUUUCUGACAUAAAAUUUCAAGAAAG